rnacentral:lncRNA from 1 species
AGAUGGCAGUGGCCGUUCCACUGCAGGCGUGAACCCUGGAGCAGCUGCGCAGUAAGCACCUGCCCAAGAGGGACUUUAUCAAGUUUCUGCAGGACCACAAUUCAGAUUCGUUUCUUGCAGAACAUAAAUUAUUAGGAAACAUUAAAAAUGCAGGCAAGACAGCUAACAAGGACCAUUUGGUUACAGCCUAUAACCAUCUUUUUGAAACUGAGUGUUUCAAGGGUAUCAAUACUGUAAGUGUUGCAAGUGAAAAAUGUGAAGCUUAAUGAAGAUAAACCCAAAUAAACCCAAAGUCUGGAGAGUCUCUGGCUGAGGGUCCACCAAAAUAUGCAAAAUCUGUUCUAAAAACAUGAGAUUUGGGAGAUGGGGAGAUGUUGUUCAAGGCUGGUAUACAGGAACACUACAGGAUGGGACUGUUUUUGAUACUAAUAUUCAAACAAGUUCAAAAAAGAAAAAUACCAAUACCAAGCCUUUAAGUUUUAAGGUCAGAGUAGGCAAAGUUAUCACAGGAUGGGAUGAAGCACUGUUGACUGGGUAAAGGAGAAAAGCCUCGAUUGAAGAGUGAAGCAGAAUGGGCUUAUGCAAAGAAAGGGCAGCCUGAAGCCAAAAUUCCACUAAAUACAAAGUUCGUUUCUGAAGUGGAAUUAGUGGAUACU